CGCGGCCUAUCAGCUUGUUGGUGGGGUAACGGCCCACCAAGGCGACGACGGGUAGCCGGCCUGAGAGGGCGACCGGCCACACUGGGACUGAGACACGGCCCAGACUCCUGCGGGAGGCAGCAGUGGGGAAUAUUGCACAAUGGGCGAAAGCCUGAUGCAGCGACGCCGCGUGAGGGAUGACGGCCUUCGGGUUGUAAACCUCUUUCAGCAGGGAAGAAGCGAAGGUGACGGUACCUGCAGAAGAAGCACCGGCUAACUACGUGCCAGCAGCCGCGGUAAUACGUAGGGUGCGAGCGUUGUCCGGAUUUAUUGGGCGUAAAGAGCUUGUAGGCGGUUUGCCGCGUCUGCUGUGAAAAUCCGAGGCUCAACCUCGGACUUGCAGUGGGUACGGGCAGACUAGAGUGUGGUAGGGGAGACUGGAAUUCCUGGUGUAGCGGUGAAGUGCGCAGAUAUCAGGAGGAACACCGAUGGCGAAGGCAGGUCUCUGGGCCACUACUGACGCUGAGAAGCGAAAGCAUGGGGAGCGAACAGGAUUAGAUACCCUGGUAGUCCAUGCCGUAAACGUUGGGAACUAGGUGUGGGUCUCAUUCCACGAGAUCCGUGCCGCAGCUAACGCAUUAAGUUCCCCGCCUGGGGAGUACGGA
rnacentral:rRNA from 1 species